AACGAACGCUGGCGGCAUGCCUAACACAUGCAAGUCGAACGAGACCUUCGGGUCUAGUGGCGCACGGGUGCGUAACGCGUGGGAACCUGCCCUUAGGUUCGGAAUAACUCCCCGAAAGGGGUGCUAAUACCGGAUAAUGUCUUCGGACCAAAGAUUUAUCGCCUUUGGAUGGGCCCGCGUUGGAUUAGCUAGUUGGUAGGGUAAAAGCCUACCAAGGCGACGAUCCAUAGCUGGUCUGAGAGGAUGAUCAGCCACACUGGGACUGAGACACGGCCCAGACUCCUACGGGAAGCAGCAGUGGGGAAUAUUGGACAAUGGGCGAAAGCUUGAUCCAGCAAUGCCGCGUGAGUGAUGAAGGCCUUAGGGUUGUAAAGCUCUUUUACCCGGGAUGAUAAUGACAGUACCGGGAGAAUAAGCUCCGGCUAACUCCGUG
rnacentral:rRNA from 1 species